GUCUCUGUGGCGCAAUCGGUUAGCGCGUUCGGCUGUUAACCGAAAGGUUGGUUGUUCAAGCCCAUCCAGGGACG
rfam:Nematostella vectensis strain CH2 x CH6 NEMVEscaffold_142_Cont15275, whole genome shotgun sequence.